CCCUCCUCAUUCCUCAACAUCAAAUGGAAAAAAAAUAACUAUUUUAAUUUCUCCGAUUUCUCCAUCUCUCAUCGUCUCAACCUCUCUCUUAUUAGCCUUCUCAAAUUCCCUUCAUCUCUCCUCGAUCUUCCCAAUGACUUCAUUAUCUCUUAGAUCAAACCCCAACUCUUUAUCUCGGGUUAGGUUUUCUCUCAUUACCGUCGAGAGAAGGGGCAAAGAUUUGGUUUUGAGCGAAUCAGAGCAGGAUUUGGUGAACUCGGUGAAGUGUUGAACUCAGAUUGACCGAGUUGUCAGUUUCCAUUGAGUUAUUGCUCAGCUGCGAUUUCGUAACGACCUUGCUGCACAUUGUCUGCGAUAUGUGUGGAAUGAAGAAAUCUUCAACACUUCCUGGAUGGCUAGAGAAUGCAAUAUAAUGAGAGGCAGCGUCAUGCAACUCCAGAUUAUUUGAACUUCACUCAGGAAACAUGGGAAGUUAUACACAUGUAUCAAACAUCAUUAUUGUUGUAUGAUAUCCAUUUCUGCGAAAAUAUGCCAACAUAAGCAACAACAAUGUCUUCCCAUAUCAUUCUUGUGCGAUCUUUGCAAAAAUAAAAGUAGACCAAUAUGGGGGCUUCAUAAAAUUACUGUUACAUAUAUCGUGCAAAACACGAAGAAAAAUUCAGUACGUUUCUUGUUUGCUUGA